GAUUUUAAAAUUAAAAUUUUCAAAACCGGUUGCUUAAUUAUAAAUCAGUUAUUUAACCAUAACCAAAUUUACAAUUGGUUUUAUAACCGAUUUUAAACCAAAUAAUAGAUUUGGUUAUAAAUCUAAAUCCAUAUAUUGGUUUUAAAAUUGAUAUGGUUUGGUUUUUUAUAAAAACCAACCAUGAACAACCCUAAACCAUAAAAAAUAAUUUUUGGUUUCAAAGAAUAAAUUUUUUUCUGAAAGAAACGCACUCAUUAUUACCUCUAUAUAGAAUGAGUAAUUGACUAAUUGAAUGACUACCGAAUAUAGAACGACUACUAAAUAUGGAACGACUACCGAAUAUGGAAUGACUGCUGAAUGAUUGAUUAAUUGAUAAAAUUUAAAAUAAAAAAUAAUAUUAUUAAUAUAAUAAUAAAAAAUAACAUUAAUAAAUAAUAAAAUAUAUAUAAGCCGGUCUGUCAGGCAUAAUAGAUUUUUUUUAUAUUAAAUUUUUUUAAGAUUUUUUUUAUAUUAAAUUUUUUUAAUAUAUAAUAAAUUAAAUAUUAAUCUUUAAGUGUUAAAAUCUUAAAAAUUUAUAUUUAAUUCAUGUUAUGUGAAAAAAUUCUAAAUUUUUUAAAGUAAAUUGUUAAAUAUAUCAUAAAUACUGAUAAAAUUAUUCAAAAAUUCGUAUGAUACAAAAUAGUAAAUAUCAAAUCAGAGAAUAAAAAAAAUUUAAGGAUUAAAAAUUGAUGAAAUACUUUAUAAAAAUUAAAAACAAAUAAUAGAACUUACAGAAAAUUAUGUUCCUUCUCAGUAACCAUCAAAUUUCAUCCCCUUUCUUCUCCAUAACCAUAAAGUGGUUUCUUAGGAUUAACUACAUCAUAACCAUAAAGGGUGAAUUUGAAAAAUCACAUAGCUUCAAAAAGAAAGAAGUUGUGAAGGUAUCAAAUAUAAAAGAUGGAGAUCAAUAUAUCUUGGUGUGGUUGAACUUGCUGGAAGAAAAGUGAAGGAGAAGAGUUUUCUUUAAUGAAGUGACGCAAAGAAGUAGUGCUAGUUUGCAAGGAGAUUAAUCGCUGAAGUAUAUUUACGAAAAAUGGCUUGGUUGAUAAUUUGGCGAUGAAAUGUGGAGUAUUUUUCUAAUAUAAAAUAUAGUUAGCUUUCUAAAAGUGAUGGUAGAUAUGAAACACAGAUAAACGUGUUAAGUUGGCUCAAUGAUCUCCAUAGUCCAUAUUAGAGAGACCGAUCUUGAUAAAUGAUGGCCUAUAAUAAAGAGAGCCGGCCAAAAUGAUCCAUGUGAUUGGACCCUUGGAUGAAAAGUAAAUAGGUCAAAUUAAU
rnacentral:lncRNA from 1 species